rnacentral:lncRNA from 1 species
CCUAUGUACAAGAAUCAAAUGGUGCAAAAAGUAAACAUAAGCAAUAGAGAUUGUUUACCCCAGGAUUGGUGAAUUGUCAUGAUAGCUUGAAGCGGGUUCAAAAUAUCAACUGUAUGGAGUUUUUACUGUCUAUUACCAUAGAUGGAUUUCCACAACAGGAGGUUGAAAGCGAAAAUGAGUGGAUGGUUAGGAAGACCAAGAUACACAAAGGAUUAGUAAU